AGGAGAGACAGAAGCUCCACUAAAUCCAAAGAACACCUAGACUGAUCAACAACAGAGGAAGCAAGGACAGCAAAGGGCGCUGCAGAGGCCAAGAGUUCAUUUUAGACAACAGGGUUGCCGGGCUGCCACAGAGAUCAGCAAACAAAAUAGUCCACCUGCAAGGAACAGGCCUUCCUUGUGACAACCGUGCUACAGGAAAACCAGCCAAGUUGCCGGAACCACAGAGUACAACAAAGUUUGGGUAAAAUAGUUGUGGCAAAAAUGAAAUUCUGGGGCUACAUUUCCAUCCUGUAUGAAACUAUUGAACAUCCUUGGUCAACACUCUCUGUAGAGAUUUGUUUUAUGUAAGUUGUAGUUCCAAAAUGUGUGGGGUUUUUUGUUUGUUGUUGUUGUUGUUGAGACAGGGUCUCGCUCUGUCGCUAGGCUGGAGUGCAGUGGUGAGAUCUCAGCUCACUACACCCACUGCCUCCCGGGUUCAAGCGAUUCUCCUGCCUCAACCUCUCGAGUAGCUGGGACUACA
rnacentral:lncRNA from 1 species